rnacentral:tRNA from 1 species
UGUUCUGUCAGCACUAAGUUAUGGGCAACCAAUCCCAUGGUUCUCA